AAUAGGAUUCGACCGACUUCAAUCCGAAUUUCUUCCAGAACUUCGUCAGUUCGUCAGUGGACGAACUUUCCCAACAGCAGAUCUCCACGAUGGACGGACUCCAUCCAAGUUUCUACGGCUGUCGACUGCCUUCUGGAUUUCAUCCGAGCUCUUACGGGAGCCGGACUUCUUCCCCAAACUCCUACUGCAGGUAGACUUCGUCCGAGCUCCUACGGGAGUCGGACUUCAGUCCUGAGCUCCUAUUGCAGGUAGACCUCAUCCGAAUUCUUACAAGGAUCGAGCUCCGAGCCCCCACCACAAGCGAUCUACUCCGAGCUUCUA
rnacentral:lncRNA from 1 species